UUGCUUUUGAAGAUCAGCGGCGGACGGGUGAGUAACACGUGGGCAACCUGCCUGUAAGACUGGGAUAACUUCGGGAAACCGGAGCUAAUACCGGAUAAUCCUUUCCCUCACAUGAGGGAAAGCUGAAAGACGGUUUCGGCUGUCACUUACAGAUGGGCCCGCGGCGCAUUAGCUAGUUGGUGAGGUAAUGGCUCACCAAGGCAACGAUGCGUAGCCGACCUGAGAGGGUGAUCGGCCACACUGGGACUGAGACACGGCCCAGACUCCUACGGGAGGCAGCAGUAGGGAAUCUUCCGCAAUGGACGAAAGUCUGACGGAGCAACGCCGCGUGAGCGAUGAAGGCCUUCGGGUCGUAAAGCUCUGUUGUCAGGGAAGAACAAGUACCGGAGUAACUGCCGGUACCUUGACGGUACCUGACCAGAAAGCCACGGCUAACUACGUGCCAGCAGCCGCGGUAAUACGUAGGUGGCAAGCGUUGUCCGGAAUUAUUGGGCGUAAAGCGCGCGCAGGCGGUUCCUUAAGUCUGAUGUGAAAGCCCCCGGCUCAACCGGGGAGGGUCAUUGGAAACUGGGGAACUUGAGUGCAGAAGAGGAGAGCGGAAUUCCACGUGUAGCGGUGAAAUGCGUAGAGAUGUGGAGGAACACCAGUGGCGAAGGCGGCUCUCUGGUCUGUAACUGACGCUGAGGCGCGAAAGCGUGGGGAGCGAACAGGAUUAGAUACCCUGGUAGUC
rnacentral:rRNA from 1 species